rnacentral:rRNA from 1 species
GGGUUGUGAGGUUAAGCGACUAAGCGUACACGGUGGAUGCCCUGGCAGUCAGAGGCGAUGAAGGACGUGCUAAUCUGCGAAAAGCGUCGGUAAGGUGAUAUGAACCGUUACAGCCGGCGAUGUCCGAAUGGGGAAACCCAGUGCAAUUCGUUGCACUAUCGUUAACUGAAUACAUAGGUUAACGAGGCGAACCGGGGGAACUGAAACAUCUAAGUACCCCGAGGAAAAGAAAUCAACCGAGAUUCCCCCAGUAGCGGCGAGCGAACGGGGAGCAGCCCAGAGUCUGAAUCAGCUUGUGUGUUAGUGGAACGGUCUGGAAAGUCCGACGGUACAGGGUGAUAGUCCCGUACACCAAAAUGCACAGGUUGUGAACUCGAAGAGUAGGGCGGGACACGUGGUAUCCUGUCUGAAUAUGGGGGGACCAUCCUCCAAGGCUAAAUACUCCUGACUGACCGAUAGUGAACCAGUACCGUGAGGGAAAGGCGAAAAGAACCCCGGCGAGGGGAGUGAAAAAGAACCUGAAACCGUGUACGUACAAGCAGUGGGAGCACCUUCGGGUGUGACUGCGUACCUUUUGUAUAAUGGGUCAGCGACUUAUAUUCUGUAGCAAGGUUAACCGUAUAGGGGAGCCGCAGGGAAACCGAGUCUUAACUGGGCGUUAAGUUGCAGGGUAUAGACCCGAAACCCGGUGAUCUAGCCAUGGGCAGGUUGAAGGUUGGGUAACACUAACUGGAGGACCGAACCGACUAAUGUUGAAAAAUUAGCGGAUGACUUGUGGCUGGGGGUGAAAGGCCAAUCAAACCGGGAGAUAGCUGGUUCUCCCCGAAAGCUAUUUAGGUAGCGCCUCGUGAACUCAUCUUCGGGGGUAGAGCACUGUUUCGGCUAGGGGGUCAUCCCGACUUACCAACCCGAUGCAAACUACGAAUACCGAAGAAUGUUAUCACGGGAGACACACGGCGGGUGCUAACGUCCGUCGUGAAGAGGGAAACAACCCAGACCGCCAGCUAAGGUCCCAAAGUCAUGGUUAAGUGGGAAACGAUGUGGGAAGGCACAGACAGCCAGGAUGUUGGCUUAGAAGCAGCCAUCAUUUAAAGAAAGCGUAAUAGCUCACUGGUCGAGUCGGCCUGCGCGGAAGAUGUAACGGGGCUAAACCAUGCACCGAAGCUGCGGCAGCGACACUAUGUGUUGUUGGGUAGGGGAGCGUUCUGUAAGCCUGCGAAGGUGUGCUGUGAGGCAUGCUGGAGGUAUCAGAAGUGCGAAUGCUGACAUAAGUAACGAUAAAGCGGGUGAAAAGCCCGCUCGCCGGAAGACCAAGGGUUCCUGUCCAACGUUAAUCGGGGCAGGGUGAGUCGACCCCUAAGGCGAGGCCGAAAGGCGUAGUCGAUGGGAAACAGGUUAAUAUUCCUGUACUUGGUGUUACUGCGAAGGGGGGACGGAGAAGGCUAUGUUAGCCGGGCGACGGUUGUCCCGGUUUAAGCAUGUAGGCUGAUUGUCCAGGCAAAUCCGGAUAAUCAAGGCUGAGGUGUGAUGACGAGGCACUACGGUGCUGAAGUAACAAAUGCCCUGCUUCCAGGAAAAGCCUCUAAGCAUCAGGUAACAUCAAAUCGUACCCCAAACCGACACAGGUGGUCAGGUAGAGAAUACCAAGGCGCUUGAGAGAACUCGGGUGAAGGAACUAGGCAAAAUGGUGCCGUAACUUCGGGAGAAGGCACGCUGGUGUGUAGGUGAAGUCCCUGCGGAUGGAGCUGAGACCAGUCGAAGAUACCAGCUGGCUGCAACUGUUUAUUAAAAACACAGCACUGUGCAAACACGAAAGUGGACGUAUACGGUGUGACGCCUGCCCGGUGCCGGAAGGUUAAUUGAUGGGGUUAUCCGUAAGGAGAAGCUCUUGAUCGAAGCCCCGGUAAACGGCGGCCGUAACUAUAACGGUCCUAAGGUAGCGAAAUUCCUUGUCGGGUAAGUUCCGACCUGCACGAAUGGCGUAAUGAUGGCCAGGCUGUCUCCACCCGAGACUCAGUGAAAUUGAACUCGCUGUGAAGAUGCAGUGUACCCGCGGCAAGACGGAAAGACCCCGUGAACCUUUACUAUAGCUUGACACUGAACAUUGAGCCUUGAUGUGUAGGAUAGGUGGGAGGCUUUGAAGCGUGGACGCCAGUCUGCGUGGAGCCAACCUUGAAAUACCACCCUUUAAUGUUUGAUGUUCUAACGUUGGCCCCUUACCGGGGUUGCGGACAGUGUCUGGUGGGUAGUUUGACUGGGGCGGUCUCCUCCCAAAGCGUAACGGAGGAGCACGAAGGUUAGCUAAUCCUGGUCGGACAUCAGGAGGUUAGUGCAAUGGCAUAAGCUAGCUUGACUGCGAGCGUGACGGCGCGAGCAGGUGCGAAAGCAGGUCAUAGUGAUCCGGUGGUUCUGAAUGGAAGGGCCAUCGCUCAACGGAUAAAAGGUACUCCGGGGAUAACAGGCUGAUACCGCCCAAGAGUUCAUAUCGACGGCGGUGUUUGGCACCUCGAUGUCGGCUCAUCACAUCCUGGGGCUGAAGUAGGUCCCAAGGGUAUGGCUGUUCGCCAUUUAAAGUGGUACGCGAGCUGGGUUUAGAACGUCGUGAGACAGUUCGGUCCCUAUCUGCCGUGGGCGCUGGAGAAUUGAGGGGGGCUGCUCCUAGUACGAGAGGACCGGAGUGGACGCAUCACUGGUGUUCGGGUUGUCAUGCCAAUGGCACUGCCCGGUAGCUAAAUGCGGAAGAGAUAAGUGCUGAAAGCAUCUAAGCACGAAACUUGCCCCGAGAUGAGUUCUCCCUGAGACUUUAAGUCUCCUGAAGGAACGUUAAAGACGAUGACGUUGAUAGGCCGGGUGUGUAAGCGCAGCGAUGCGUUGAGCUAACCGGUACUAAUGAACCGUGAGGCUUAACCUUACAACGCCGAAG